UACGGAGGGUGCGAGCGUUGUCCGGAAUCACUGGGCGUAAAGGGCGCGUAGGUGGCCUGUGGAAGUCUGCGGUGAAAGCCCGGCGCUCAACGCCGGGUCGGCCGUGGAUACUCUCGGGCUUGAGCUUACUAGAGGCAGAUGGAAUUCCGGGUGUAGCGGUGGAAUGCGUAGAGAUCCGGAAGAACACCGGUGGCGAAGGCGGUCUGCUGGGGUAAUGCUGACACUGAGGCGCGAAAGCGUGGGGAGCAAACAGG
rnacentral:rRNA from 1 species